rnacentral:lncRNA from 1 species
CGCAAAUAUGGACAUGGAGCGGAGACCUCCCUGUGUUUCACGCGCUUCCAGGGAUCACACAGGUGAAGACAGACGUUGGGAGUCUUGAGUGCAGACCCUGGAAAGGCUUCAACCAUGAAAGACUCACUGGUUUCCAUGGAGUCUUGUUGGCUCAUGACCAAGGGAGAGCUCAAUGUUCCUGUCAGCUGGGGUCCAGUGUUCCUAAUCAGCCCUGACCUGAAAGACUCACACAAAAGACUUGAAGAUCAAAAUGUUUUAUAUGGGAUCAUGAAAAUAAGUUGAUUAUUUGGGGGUGGAGGAAGGAAUACAAUAAAGGCUUAAAAACUUGUGUUUCA